UUCCUACGGGGCGCAGCAGUGGGGAAUAUUGCGCAAUGGGCGAAAGCCUGACGCAGCGACGCCGCGUGAGGGAUGAAGGUCUUCGGAUCGUAAACCUCUGUCAGCAGGGAAGAACGGUCACUGUGCUAAUCAGCAGUGAAUUGACGGUACCUGCAAAGGAAGCACCGGCUAACUCCGUGCCAGCAGCCGCGGCAAUACGGAGGGUGCGAGCGUUAAUCGGAAUUACUGGGCGUAAAGCGCACGUAGGCUGUUGUGUAAGUCAGGGGUGAAAUCCCACGGCUCAACCGUGGAACUGCCCUUGAUAC
rnacentral:rRNA from 1 species